CCUACGGGUGGCAGCAGUGAGGAAUAUUGGUCAAUGGGCUUACGACUGAACCAGCCAAGUCGCGUGAGGGAAGACUGCCCUAUGGGUUGUAAACCUCUUUUGUCAGGGAGCAACGCCGGCUACGUGUAGCCGGACUGAGAGUACCUGAAGAAAAAGCACCGGCUAAAUCCGUGCCAGCAGCCGCGGUAAUACGGAGGAUGCGAGCGUUCUCCGGAUUUAUUGGGUUUAAAGGGUGCGUAGGCGGAAUGCCAAGUCAGCGGUAAAAGCGCGGGGCUCAACCUCGCUCCGCCGUUGAAACUGGCGUUCUUGAGUGGGCGAGAAGUAUGCGGAAUGCGUGGUGUAGCGGUGAAAUGCAUAGAUAUCACGCAGAACUCCGAUUGCGAAGGCAGCAUACCGGCGCCCAACUGACGCUGAAGCACGAAAGCGUGGGUAUCGAACAGGAUUAGAUACCCCUGUAGUC
rnacentral:rRNA from 1 species